rnacentral:rRNA from 1 species
GCUCAGGAUGAACAGGCAGCAUCUUAACACAUGCAAGUCGGACGGAAGUGGUGUUUCCAGUGGCGGACAGGUGGAGUAACAUGUAGAACCUGCCCUUGGGAGAGAACAACAGCUGGAGCAGCUGCUAAAUACCCCAUAGGCUGAGGAGCAAAAGGAGAAUCCGCCCGAGGAGGGCUCGCGUCUGAUUAGCUAGUUGGUACAGGGCAAUAAACUUACCAAGGCGAUGAUCAGUAGCUGGUCCGAGGGAUGAUCAAUACACUGGGACUGAGACACAUUGCCCCAACUCCUGCAGGGAGGCAGCAGUGGGGAAUUUUCCACCAAUGGGCAGAAAGCCUGACAGGAGCAAUGCCGCGUGGAGGGGAGAAGGCCUACAGGUCCCUGAACUUCUUUUCCCAGAGAAGAAGCAAUGACGGCAGUAUCUAGGGAAUAAGCAUCAGCUAACUCUGUGCCCCAGCCAUAGUAAUACAGAGGAUGCAAAGCGAUUAUCCAGGAAUGAUUGGGCAUAAAGCGUCUGUGGUGGCUUUUAAGUCCGCCAUCAAAUCCAGGAGCUCAACCCUGGACAGGCGGUGGGAACUACCAAAGCUUGAGUACAGUAGGGGAGGAGAGGAAUUUCCGGUGGGCGGUGAAAUGCGUAGAGAUCAGGAAAGAACACCAGCAGCAGAAAGCACUCUGCUGGAGCCGACACUGGCACUGAGGGGACAGAAAGCUAGGGGCAGAUGGGAUUAAGAUACCCCAGUAGUCCCUAGCCAUCAACAGUGGAUACUAGGCGCUGUGCGUAUCGACCCGUGCAGUGCUGCUGUAGCUAAUUAAAUUAUCCCGCCUAGGAGUACGUUCAUAAAGAAUGAAACUCAAAGGAAUUGACAGGGGGCCCACACAAGGCAGUGGAGCAUGUGGUUUAAUUCGAUGCAAAGCAAAAGAACCUUACCAGAACUUGACAUGCCGCAGAUCCUCUUGAAGAGAGGGUGCCUUCAGGGAACAUUGGACACAGGUGGUGCAUGGCUGUCAUCAGCUCGUGCCAUGGGUGUUGGGUUAAGUCCCGCAACAGGCACAACCCUCGUGUUUAGUUUCCCACCGUUGGGUUUGGAACCCUGAACAGACUGCCGGUGAUAGAAGCCGGAGGAAGGUGAGGAUGACGUCAAAGUCAUCAUGCCCCAUAUGCCCUGGGCGACACACGUGCUACAAUGGCCCAGGACAAGGGUCGCGAUCCCGAGGGUGAGGCUAACUCAAAAACCCGUCCUCAGUUCGGAUUGCAGGCUGCAACUCCCUGCAUGAAGCCAGGAAUCGCUAGUAAUCCUUGAGUCAAUCAGCCAGCGGGAAUUCAUUCCCAGGCCUUGUACACCGCCCGUCACACUAUGGGAGCUGGCUGGCCGAGUCGUUACCUUAACCACAAGGGAGGGUGCCGAGGCAGGGCUAGUGACUGGAGUGAAGUCAUAACAAGGUAGCCGUACUGGAAGGUGCGGCUG